rnacentral:rRNA from 1 species
CCUACGGGUGGCAGCAGUGGGGAAUAUUGCACAAUGGGGGCAACCCUGAUGCAGCGACGCCGCGUGAGUGAAGAAGUAAUUCGUUACGUAAAGCUCUAUCAGCAGGGAAGAAACACUGACCUUACGGUCAGCAGACGGUCCCUGAGUAAGAAGCCCCGGCUAACUACGUGCCAGCAGCCGCGGUAAUACGUAGGGGGCAAGCGUUAUCCGGAUUUACUGGGUGGAAAGGGAGCGUAGACGGUGCGCCAAGUCUGGAGUGAAAUGCAGCCGCUGAACUGCUGAACUGCUUUGGAAACUGGCGAACUAGAGUGCUGGAGGGGUAGGCGGAAUUCCUAGUGUAGCGGUGAAAUGCGUAGAUAUUAGGAGGAACACCAGUGGCGAAGGCGGCUUGCUGGACCGUAACUGACGUUGAGGCUCGAAAGUGUGGGGAGCAAACAGGAUUAGAUACCCCGGUAGUC